AGUAUACGACAGCAGACGAGGAACAGUUCUUGGCUCCAGCGUAAUUAAUUACAGUGCAUUAAAAUACAAUUGCCAAACGAACACAGACAUACAUUGUAGGGCUUACUUACGCUGGCAAAUGUAACAAAACGUUUUAGUAUAUAAAAUAAUAGAAUGAGCUAGUGCAAUAAUUCCACUUUAAAAUAAAACCAUAUAAAUAGUUGUAUAAAGUAAAAUGAGGGCAAAUGAAUUUUGGAGUGGAAUAUUCAAUAGAUUCGAGUAAAAAUAAUAUGAAAUAAAUCAUAUUGUUAACUGGCAUAUACUAUAUUUGCUCCCCUACUUUAUUGCCCGCAGUUGCCAUUUUGGCUUAUGGCAAUGGCAACGACAAUGGCAAAUUCAAAGCGAAUUUAUAACUGGGGGGAAUUCAUUUAUUGUCCGAGCCAUUUAUCAUUUGAAGUCUGCGUUCAGUUGCUGCUUCUGCAAACUCUCUAAAAUAUAUUGCUUGCCAUGCAUACGAAAGCGCAUUUUAAUACUUAACUCUGCUGAUAGAAACUUGCAACGUGUUAACACAAUUUGUAAUUCGAUAAAACUUUCGCUUAAAAAUGCGAGAAAGUAUUUAAAAAAGUAUCCGCCAUCAGUGGAAGUUUCUGUGUAGAAAUCUUCAGCUGGCAAUUGUAACAUUUCCCAAAAGCAGGCAACAAAGGAUUUAAUUACCAAAAAGGGAGAGACAGCUGAUAUAACACAUGGUAUGGACGAGUUGACCGACUUCAUUAAUAGGGUCCCUAUUGUAAUUAAGCAAAGGCCAGCUCGGGCUCAUACGACAAUGUGUCAACGACUGGACCUCCGGGGCUGUGGGGCGAAUUUAUCACAGCACACAAAAAAUAGACUCAACUAUCUGAAACAUCUGCACACAUUACAAUGAAAACUAAGCUGGAGAUUUGUAUAAAGACCGGAGCUCUUGUAAUUAUUAAACAGAGCUUCCUUCUUAGCUGUGGACUCCAAUGAUGUCACUGACGAAAUGAAAUGCUGAGACUGCUUACUAAAGAAACCGCCGAAUGUGAAGUACGUAAAUGUACUUCCUUUCAGCAGUUAAUUAAUGUCGCUUAUCAAACGAAAUCCAUAUUUUUGCUUACACACGGAUUCAAAACCAUAAAUCAGAGUCUAGAGAAAAUAAAUUUGGAUUGUAUUUGAUACAGUGACACAAAGAAAAGAAAAAAAACCAGAAGAGAGUGCUGUAAAUAAGAAAGAACCAAGAUUUAUGGGAUAAGCACAAGAUGAAUUGUUAUUGUUUAAAUUUAUUAAAACGAGAGUAAAUCAAUCGAACUUUGGAACUUAAAGCACGUAAUAUAUCAUAAAUAUUAUUCAUAUUAUUUAGCAUUGAUCAAAAUUUUGCCAUGUUGUACGAGUUAAAGCUACCGAUUUUCAGCAUUUGUUACAUUUUUCUAUUAAUAUAGUUGGCCUCAAAUACGCUGUGGACCAGUGUGCUAAAGUGAAAGCUUUUAAUCAGCACAAUAAAUGCUAAUUUGAAAGUUUUGUGGACCGAAGUAAUUAGCAUAUUAUGAAAUUGAUAAAUAUUAAACAUACAAUAUGUGAGCAGUAUAAAUGUUUAAACGUAUAACGUUUUAAUGACUUCAGUAAUUGAUACAGAUAUCCGUUAAAUCUAAAAUUAACCCAGCUUAACGAGGUUCAAACAAUAUUCACCUCAAAAUGUUAGAUGUCCUUGGUCCACUCCCAAUUAUGGCAUUUAAUGGGCGGAAGAAAGCGCAGCUAAUUAGAGGAAGUUUAUUUUAAUGGAUAUCUCUAUAAUGGGCACUCAUUGAUUUCAAGCGUGGCGCCAAUCCUUUUAGCUACAGCUGAACUUUUUUAAAGUGCGGCAUACCGUGGGGGCGUCGAACUUAUAA